rnacentral:rRNA from 1 species
UGGGGAAUAUUGCACAAUGGGCGCAAGCCUGAUGCAGCCAUGCCGCGUGUAUGAAGAAGGCCUUCGGGUUGUAAAGUACUUUCAGCGGGGAGGAAGGGAGUAAAGUUAAUACCUUUGCUCAUUGACGUUACCCGCAGAAGAAGCACCGGCUAACUCCGUGCCAGCAGCCGCGGUAAUACGGAGGGUGCAAGCGUUAAUCGGAAUUACUGGGCGUAAAGCGCACGCAGGCGGUUGAUUGAGUCAGAUGUGAAAUCCCCGGGCUUAACCCGGGAAUUGCAUCUGAUACUGGUCAGCUAGAGGCUUGUAGAGGGGGGUAGAAUUCCAUGUGUAGCGGUGAAAUGCGUAGAGAUGUGGAGGAAUACCGGUGGCGAAGGCGGCCCCCUGGACAAAGACUGACGCUCAGGUGCGAAAGCGUGGGGAGCAAACAGG